rnacentral:lncRNA from 1 species
CUCCUACAAAGAAGCAUUUUAUAAUGUCCCAAUAAUAAAUAAACUUGAAAGGCAGUCAAGGUCACAAGGUCUGCAACUCUUAGGCAAGUUCUAGUGCUGAGCUACAUUCAGAGCCACUGGACUUGGGGGAUAUAAAACCUACUGAGACACUAGCUGGUACAGCUAAAGGACUGCUUAUGCCACCCCUUCCCCAACCCCAGAAUGCACAGGUCAUGGCUCCAAGAGACUUUUUCUUCUGCUUAUGAAGAGGAGAGGGAAGAGUAAAGAGGAUUUUGUCUUGCAUCUUGGAGACCAUCUCAGCUACAACAGGAUAAGGCACCAUGCAGAGAUGCAAGGCCCCCUUUCUAAGCCCUAGCUUCUGGAUGACACUUCUAGAAACACCCUGGGCCAGAAGUGAACCUGCUGCCUUGAAGGGAAUAACUCAGUUCCAGGAUACAACACUGGGGCCCUGAAUAACCAGCAGCAAUACCUAGGAAGUAUGGCAUGGGACUUGGGUGAGACUAAGACUUGCUGGCUUUAGGUCAGACUCAGCACAUACUCAGCUGUGAUGGCUACAGAAAGAGACUCCAUCUGCUUGAGAAAACUGGAGGGGAAAGUAAAGGGAACUUUGUAUGGCACCUUAGGUACCACCUCGGCCACAGGGGUGUAGAGCACCAAGCAGGCUCUUGGGGUCUCUGAUUCUAGGCCUUAGAUGUUGAACAGCAUUUCUGGACUUGCCCUGGGCCAGAAGGGAUUCACUGCCCUGAACGAUGAGUCCCAGGCUGGGCAACACUCACUGCAAGCUGACUGAAGAUACCUUGGACCUUAAAGGAAUAUCAGUGGUAGCCUGGCAGCACUCCUCAUCGGCUUAUGGUGGUAGUGCCCACGAUGUGAGGUCAGUUUCGUUUGGCUAAAAGGAGAAUUGCUGUGAAGUUUCAGAAGUCUUAAAUUUUUGUCUUGUUUUGACACUUACUUAAAUCAGACAAGCUACUAAAACAAACUUCAUAUUUGAGGAAUAUUACUGAGAACCUAUUAACCGCUCCUGUGUCAACCAACAAUGAAUGUACUAGGCAAUGGUAUUUUAGCUACAGAAUGAACUAUGUAUUUCACAUUGCUGGUACAUGAAACACCUUCUAGCUGAUAAUAUCCUAUGAAUAAUAAAACUGAG